rnacentral:lncRNA from 1 species
UAUCUGAAGAAUAUUUCUCCUGUUAUUUACUAUUCUGUUAAGUGAGAAUGAUUUUUUGACAAUUGUGAUAUAAUUCCAAGUUUGUCAUUCUUACUUCUUUAAUUCUUUGUCUACAUUGGUAUAGGCCCCUUUCCACUCCUCAAUGAUAUAUGAAUUUUACUCAGUUACAGAACUCUGUUCUUUACAGCCACCAGUUCAUUUAGACAAUAGUGAUAAAUUUACAAAGGAGAUUCACCAAAAGAAAGCAUUUUUUAAAAAUUUUUAGCACUUUGGGAAAUUGUUGCUCCCCAUAGAUACUAUCUGAAUUACAGGAUACAUAGGGUACAAAUUUAAUAUAGAAGAAUAUAGCAUUUGUUUUUGACAUACAGUUUUACCUCAUUUAAGAAAAUUGUGUAAAAAAAAUCAUUUCUCAAGGAGUCACAUUUAAUAUUUCCUUCUUCAAAAUGGAUUUUUAAAGGUAGUAUGUAUCCUUUACCACAAAGUUUAGAAAAAUACAUCAAAUUCAUAUUUUGAAAAGGACUGAACAGAUGAAUACAAAUUGUCCAUUUUUUUUUCUCCACUUCUGGAACAUUAUCAUGCUGGUGGAGAGAGAAAGAAUAAAUAUCAGUCAAGCUCAUCUGUAACAAAAUCAAUUAUGUGAGAGCAUAUCAAGGACUUUCAACAUGGCUGUCCUCAGCCUGACAUGCCAGUCCCUGGAUUAUUUUUACGAUGUUUGAAUUGCCUAUUUGUAGGAAGAUAUAUUAACAUUAAACAUCAGAGUAUUUUUGUACCCUCCUUCUUUCUAUGACCACUGGUUACUUUGGCUAGUGUCAGGGCUGAGGUUCCUGAGCAUAAAGUUGGGAACAGUAACUGGUUACUCUGUUUGAUGAACACUGGUCUUGUGUGGAAUAAACACAUAAAUAUAAUAGUAGUUUUUGACAGGAUGGAAAUCAAUUAUUUGUUGCUUUUCCCCAUGCAAAUUUUGUCCAGGAGUUAAAGUUAUGUAAUUUCCAGGAGAGUUUUACCUCCAAUCACAUGAAAAU